rnacentral:lncRNA from 10 species
ACUUGCACCAGUGCCCAGAGAGGGGGUGCAGGCUGAGGAGCUGCCCAGAGCACCGCUCACACUCCCAGAGUACCUGAAGUCGGCAUUUCAAUGACAGGGCACCUUCAGCCUGCGGAAGCUAUGGGCCUUCACGGGGCCUGGCUUCCUCAUGAGCAUUGCUUUCCUGGACCCAGGAAACAUCGAGUCAGAUCUUCAGGCUGGCGCCGUGGCGGGAUUCAAAAGAUGGGGGUCUCACUAUGUUGCUCAGGCUGCUCUUGAACUCCUGGACUCAAGCAAUCCUCCCACCUUAGCCUUUUAAAGUGCUGGGAUUACAGGCUUCUCUGGGUGCUGCUCUGGGCCACCGUGUUGGGCUUGCUCUGCCAGCGACUGGCUGCACGUCUGGGCGUGGUGACAGGCAAGGACUUGGGCGAGGUCUGCCAUCUCUACUACCCUAAGGUGCCCCGCACCGUCCUCUGGCUGACCAUCGAGCUAGCCAUUGUGGGCUCCGACAUGCAGGAAGUCAUCGGCACGGCCAUUGCAUUCAAUCUGCUCUCAGCUGGACGGUACCACCCCAGUGUACCCCAACUCUUCAGG